GCAGUAGAUUAAUGCAUUUCUGGGAAGCGUUCCCUGUAAUAUGGACUGUUUUGUCUCUGAAUGAUGCAACUCGUCUGAAGGUCAACAGUUUCCUCCACGGUGAGCCUAAGCUACACAGCAGUAAUUUUACAAGCCAGGAGGAUGCAGGACCAUCUGGCACUGAAAGGACUCCACUACUUGGGUUGAGGCUUUAUCCUCUUCUUCAAGUGCACAAGAUGAUGAUGUGCCUCAAGCCCCAUGAAACACAAGGUAGCUUCUGUCCCAAGAAAAUAGAGUCAGUCUACCUCUAAACCGGGCGAUGACAACAAGACCAAGUGGCACUCUCCAGGUGAGCCUGACAUUGAGGCACAAGCUACAUUUACCUAGAGGCAUCCUCCAGGACCUAGACUUGACACCACAAAAUCAUGGUCACCACUGAGCCUGCUAAAGCUGUUUUUUAGUGCAAGCACCAUCCGGAACAUAAUCAAUAAUUCCAAUUCGAAUGCUCAAAGAACAUUUUCAGCUGACAAGAAAUUCCUCUGGUCACCAAGUUUGUUUAUAUAGUUUUUAUUGAUGGUUGUUUUUUGCACAUUUGUUUAUGUUGUUUUUCAAAAAUAAAAUCCUCCAGUUGGAGAUGAAAGAAUACAUUUUAGUUUGAUUUCUUUUCAUUAUAUUAAUUUUAUCUUCAUCAUCAUCAACUUGAUUCAUAAAGCGCUUCAACAG